UCUGCCAGUUGUGGAAGGUGUGUGCUGCUGCCCUGCAUCUGAAGAUUUAGUUAAUUGAGUUUCUGAAACAUGUCACUGAGGUUUGCAAGUUUCAUGAGGAAGUUGUUACACCUGUAGGCAAGUUCAUUACCCUCUACCCCCAAGAAUAUUCUGAUCUCAUCCCGCAGUUCAAACACCCUGGAUAAAAUCUUCCCACGUGACAGCCAUCGGGACUGGCAGUGAAACAAAACAGCUGUGUAGGCGGAUCCCAUUUCCUCGCACAGCGCGGGGUAAAUACGGGAUUUGACGGAUCUUGUUUUAAUGGAGUUUACGGCAGCAAUGAUGUCUGUCAUUACAUUAUUCAGCUCGGGACUCAGCAGUUUGGACGCUAGCGUCCCUCGGAGUAGGCCUAUCAUACAGUGUGUCCAAUGCACAUUUGGGGAGACGUGCUUGAUUAGCGCUUGCAGCCCUCCUCGUUUCCCAGCCAUUGCCUGAGCCCCAUCUGUGCAGAUCCCCACACAGUCCUCCCAUUUCAGAUCAGCUUCUGUCAAAUUUAAUGUGAUCACUUUUAAUUUCCUAACCCCUGAGUGUGUGGGAACAACAUCCAUUCCUCACACUGCGGCCUGUACGCCUGAUCAAGGGGAAAGGAGAUUCAGAGGGUACUGAGGACUCCAGGCCCCCUCGGAGCCCAGCUGUAUCCAGAGAUAAGGCCUCAGACUGGGGCACGUGCAGCACCAGCGGCCCCUGGAUCCCCUAACACCACGCGGAGCUGGGUCCUCCCAGUCUGCCAAGAGGGACUAUGUGCGUCAGAGAGAGAGAGAGAGAGUGUACCUAGUGAAUCUAUGGAGGUGAAUAAUGGAUUCUAGAACUCUGAGAGCUAGAACGCCUCUGGGAGGAGCGUUUUUUUCUAAAGGCUUCAUAACGUCUUCUGCUGCUUUCAGUCCCCUACAGACACACUGACACAGAGUAACGCGCAGUUACUGACUUUAUAG